rnacentral:rRNA from 1 species
UUCCCCUAGUAACUGCGAGUGAAGCGGGAAAAGCUCAAAUUUAAAAUCUGGUAGUCUUUGGCUGCCCGAGUUGUAAUCUAGAGAAGCGUUAUCCGCGCUGGACCGUGUAUAAGUCUCCUGGAAUGGAGCGUCAUAGAGGGUGAGAAUCCCGUCUUUGACACGGAUUACCAGGGCUUUGUGAUGCGCUCUCAAAGAGUCGAGUUGUUUGGGAAUGCAGCUCUAAAUGGGUGGUAAAUUCCAUCUAAAGCUAAAUAUUGGCGAGAGACCGAUAGCGAACAAGUACCGUGAGGGAAAGAUGAAAAGAACUUUGGAAAGAGAGUUAAACAGUACGUGAAAUUGUUGAAAGGGAAACGCUUGAAGUCAGUCGCGUUGACCAGGGAUCAACCUUGCUUUUGCUUGGCGUAUUUCCUGAUUGACGGGUCAGCAUCAAUUUUGACCAGUGGAAAAAGUUCAGGGGAAUGUGACAUCUUCGGAUGUGUUAUAGCCCUUGGUCGUAUACAUUGGUUGGGAUUGAGGAACUCAGCACGCCGCAAGGCCGGGUUUUUAACCACGUUCGUGCUUAGGAUGCUGGCAUAAUGGCUUUAAUCGACCCGUCUUGAAACACGGACCAAGGAGUCUAACAUACCUGCGAGUGUUUGGGUGGAAAACCCAAGCGCGUAAUGAAAGUGAAAGUCGGGAUCUCUGUCGUGGGGAGCACCGACGCCCGGACCAGACCUUCUGUGACGGAUCCGCGGUAGAG